GCAUCAGUGGUGUAAUGGUAACAUUUCAGCCUUCCAUUACGUAAGCUAAUCAGGCAGCAACCUGAAAGCGACGAAAAGAUAGCUGGGGCUUCGGGUUCGAUUCCCGGCUGAUGCA